GAAGUGUCUGUAUAGUUUCAUAGGGUGGAGGCAUGGGUCCUUCUGCUCGUUUGGUUUGGAUAACUUGUGGGUCAUUCAGAGAAAAUGGCUAUGGACUUUGUGAGGAAGCUUUUUCCAAAAACAGGAUUGAGAAAGGACAUAGAAGACUGGAGAGUAAAUACACUGAAAUGAUUCACACCACCUCAAAUGAGUAUCACAGAUGAACCAAUGAGAUCCCUGAUAAUUCACAUUGGAGCUAGACUGAGGAGAGAUGGGCAAGUCUAGAAGACGAUUCCUCUCGGGGUGAUUUGAGAUGUUUUUGUGGACUUUCAUGACCACUGUCUUCAUGUCUGUAGACAUAAAUUAUUGUCUAAGUCUGGGACAAGAAGUGGAUCCAGCCACACCUGGACUCCUUCCUUCCAUGGUUCAAGGAGUUUAGAAACAAAUGGGGUACACUCUGAAUCUCAUGACUCAACAGGAGGAUCUCCUAUGUGUGUUUAACCCUACUCUCUCUGCAACAAAUAAUCAAGUCUAUCCAGCCAUCUUGUAUCUCAUUAAGUUGAUGCUAAAUGACUACAUUGUAUCAAUGAAUGUAUUCCUGCUUCUCUCAUGAGUGAAGUGCACAGUGUAGUUGUUUCCAUCUGCACUGUGACCCUCCAAAGAACUGAGAAAUUUCUCUGUAAUGUAGCAGGGCUGCUUUUAUUUUUGCCUUAGAACUCCCUUUACCACCUCCUAUUGACUCCUACUUCUUGCACUAUGAAGUAAAGGAGUGGCAGAUAUGAAUCUGGAUUUAAAAGAGGUCUGGUGUAAAGAGCUAUCAGCUGGUGACUGGUCCAAAACCUGAGGAAUGACCAAAAUGUAAUGGUAGCCAGUUUUCAGUUUUCUUAAAGUGGCUAGAGUUUGGAGAAACAGAAUUUUCCUAAAAGUAAAUUUUGGCAGUGCAGAAGCUUGUUUCUUGCUACAAACUUAGCUAAGAUUAAAAAAUUGUGUAUAUUGAGGGGUGAAAGUCCGUGAUUAAGAAGUAACAGAUCCUGUACAUGCUACAGCAGAGGUGCAACCUUUGGUGACCCGUAAGUAGGACUAGCCAGGUUUGUCUAGGGCUGCACAAGACCCACAGACAAGAAUGCGAUAGCCUAAUGUGACUUGGUGACAGAUAGAGAUGACUUGUAAGUCCUGAAAGUCAGGACUCCAGGCAGUGGCUUGUCUCAUUUGCACCUGAGGCUAUCUGCAAGUAAUCCAUGGUUUGGAAUGAGAUCCUUGGAUAAUGUGGAUCUCUUUGUGGCUGCUGCUUUAGCCCCAUUCCACAUCAAACACCCUAUCACAUGGCCGUGAAGCAGUUGAAAUGCAUGAAUUUUUCUCAGAUAGUGCUCCCAGCUGGUGAAGAAAAGGAGAAUGGGCAGUGUGUGCAGACCUGUAAAAGACUGCUGCCAAAGCUCCCUCCCUGCCUUCACCAUGUAGCUUUUUGUGCUGUAUAAAGAGGAAAUGUGUUAGCAAGUCUUAUUGAUACCUAACUCGGGUUGCCAUAAACCCCGAGCACGCACUGAGCUGCAGGUCCCACGGAGCAGAUGGUGCCUCUGUGGGUGGUGAUGAGAAAGCAGCACUUGAACUAUUUCAGAGCUUCUGAGAGAGCGGUUGUGCCAAGGACAUGUAACUGGGGGAUGAAGGGGAAAGCUAGCAGUAAAAUCCUUAUGUACCUGGGGAAGCUUAGAGGCAUGUGGGUUCAAUGUAGUGCCCAAAAGCAUCGGGCUGGGAACUACUCCUUCUGUGAAACGCACAACCAAGACACUGGUCUGUUUUCUUUAGUUCACCUGCAGGAAGUUGAAAAUGCUAGCCACAUGGCAGCAGAGUGAAAAAUGUUAUCGCUGCCUUUGAAAACCAUAGGACGUGGAACAGAGAGGGUUUUCCCCUUGGCUCACACGCCAGGAGCGGUAUGUAGCCUUGUUUUGUAAGAAGCACAGAAAUCUUGCAGCGCUGGAAAAGAAAAUCUUACCUGCAAAAAAAAAAAAAAAAAUGGGAGAGCCAGGAAUGUAUUAUGCAGGAAUGAGUCUAGCCAAAGUAAGCAAAAUCUACACAACCCACACUUCCCAAAUUAUCUUCCUUUCCUGCUUAAUGCACUGUAAAUGAAAUUCAGUUGGACUUUUGACAUUAUUGUGGGCUGGACUUAUUCCCAUUUAAAUUGUACAUAGAUAGGAAUUGAUGAUAAAGCGAUACUGUUUGAACAAAUAGCUCACUUCCUUUGCAGUAAUUACUGUUGUUAAUGUAUUAAUAAUGAUAAUAAUGUACCGCAUUAAUAAUAGUGCCUUUUUUCACCAAGAAUCCUAACAUACAUGUGAAAUAAACUUGUGCUGUAUAUGU
rnacentral:lncRNA from 7 species